GUAGGUGGCAAGCGUUGUCCGGAAUUAUUGGGCGUAAAGCGCGCGCAGGCGGUUCGUUUAAGUCUGAUGUGAAAGCCCACGGGCUCAACCGUGGAGGGUCAUUGGAAACUGGAGAACUUGAGUACAGAAGAGGAAAGCGGAAUUCCACGUGUAGCGGUGAAAUGCGUAGAGAUGUGGAGGAACACCAGUGGCGAAGGCGGCUCUCUGGUCUGUAACUGACGCUGAGGCGCGAAAGCGUGGGGAGCAAACAGGAUUAGAUACCCUGGUAGUCCACGCCGUAAACGAUGAGUGCUAAGUGUUAGGGGGUUUCCGCCCCUUAGUGCUGCAGCUAACGCAUUAAGCACUCCGCCCGGGGAGUACGGCCGCAAAGGCUG
rnacentral:rRNA from 1 species